GGAAUUAUCGGAAUUUGUUGGUAACAUUUGUAAGAUGUUUAAUAUUCAUCAAAUGUGUGUAAGUUACUUCUCAUAAGAAUGUAUUUUGUUGUACUAUAGUGGUGGCCAUUGGCAGUUAGUUAUCUGUUCUAUGUCAGGACUAAGUUGCACGGGCCGCUGAGAGGGGAGAGGUCAAAGUGUCAUCAUGUGUAAACAUAUCUUAUACUCCCUACCUUUCCCAGUGGGGAAAGGAGGGUUUGCAGUGUCUGGAAUCAUUCUAUGCUCCCUCUUAUGUUGUUUCUAUCUUAACCUAUAGCCUCACCCCCUCUCCGUGAGUUUGUCCAGGAGUUUGUAUUUUGAGUGGGUUGUAUCUAAAUGACAAUUUAAUAUAUGCCUGUUGAUAUGGAGGAUUUGGUUUAUGGUUCUGGGGUUUGGGAAAGGAGACAAAGCUGAACGAUGAAUUAUGUCUAUGCUGUCUGACUAUGUGUGUCUUUGCUAUUAAAAGGAACUCAGUUGCAUUGUAAAGGGGCUCUCAGAAGAUUCACGAGGAGACACUGAAUUUAUCUGAGAGUCACAGGAUUGUGAUAAGAGCUCAUAUAAUUAAAGAUGGACUUUUAUAACUAAC